rnacentral:rRNA from 1 species
GACGAACGCUGGCGGCGUGCCUAAUACAUGCAAGUCGAGCGCAGGAAACUGACGGAACUCUUCGGAGGGAAGGCAGUGGAAUGAGCGGCGGACGGGUGAGUAACACGUAAGGAACCUGCCUCAAGGAUUGGGAUAACUCCGAGAAAUCGGAGCUAAUACCGGAUAGUUCAUCGAACAGCAUGGUCCGUUGAUGAAAGGCGCACCGGCGUCACCUUGAGAUGGCCUUGCGGUGCAUUAGCUAGUUGGUGGGGUAACGGCCCACCAAGGCGACGAUGCAUAGCCGACCUGAGAGGGUGAUCGGCCACACUGGGACUGAGACACGGCCCAGACUCCUACGGGAGGCAGCAGUAGGGAAUCUUCCACAAUGGACGAAAGUCUGAUGGAGCAACGCCGCGUGAGUGAUGAAGGUUUUCGGAUCGUAAAACUCUGUUGUAAGGGAAGAACACGUACGAGAGGGAAUGCUCGUACCUUGACGGUACCUUACGAGAAAGCCACGGCUAACUACGUGCCAGCCGCCGCGGUAA